GAGAAGUUCGGUUUCAUGAAGGAUCUGGUGGGGGGUCGGCCGGCGAUGGACUUCGGAUGGCACUGGGGAGGUUCGACAGACGUCGGAGGCGAUCGAUCAUUGUAAGAAUCCAACUGUCAGAGUCCAUCCGUUGUGAAAGCUCAUCUGGAAACCAUCCAUUGUGGAGGCUCGGACGGAGUCCGAUUCUUGUGGGAGGCCGCUUAUUGUUGGAGCUC
rnacentral:lncRNA from 1 species